ACGUAGGGUGCAAGCGUUAUCCGGAAUCAUUGGGCUUAAAGGGCUCGUAGGCGGUUCGACACGUCCGGUGUGAAAGCCCAUGGCUCAACGGUGGAACUGCCCCGGGUACGGUCGGGCUGGAGUACGGUAGAGGAGGCUGGAAUUCCCGGUGUAACGGUGGAAUGUGUAGAUAUCGGGAAGAACACCAAUGGCGAAGGCAGGUCUCUGGGCCGUUACUGACGCUGAGGAGCGAAAGCGUGGGGAGCGAACAG
rnacentral:rRNA from 1 species